GAUGAACGCUGGCGGCGUGCCUAAUACAUGCAAGUCGAGCGAACAGACGAGGAGCUUGCUCCUCUGACGUUAGCGGCGGACGGGUGAGUAACACGUGGAUAACCUACCUAUAAGACUGGGACAACUUCGGGAAACCGGAGCUAAUACCGGAUAAUAUAUUGAACCGCAUGGUUCAAUAGUGAAAGACGGUUUUGCUGUCACUUAUAGAUGGAUCCGCGCCGCAUUAGCUAGUUGGUAAGGUAACGGCUUACCAAGGCAACGAUGCGUAGCCGACCUGAGAGGGUGAUCGGCCACACUGGAACUGAGACACGGUCCAGACUCCUACGGGAGGCAGCAGUAGGGAAUCUUCCGCAAUGGGCGAAAGCUUGACGGAGCAACGCCGCGUGAGUGAUGAAGGUCUUCGGAUCGUAAAACUCUGUUAUUAGGGAAGAACAAAUGUGUAAGUAACUAUGCACGUCUUGACGGUACCUAAUCAGAAAGCCACGGCUAACUACGUG
rnacentral:rRNA from 1 species